CAGGCAUGUAGUAGACACCCUAAGCAUUAGUUUGAGCUAGAAUAUAACCCUAUGGCAAGCCUGGGCGGCGCUGGGGGGAGAUUUUCACUCUGAUGGAUAGUUGCCUUUAUGUUGGUUUUCUAGACUUUUAUGAUGCUUUAUCGUGAUUUCCGCUUAAUGAAACACCUAUUUAUGUUGGAAAACACAUGUGAAAGUUAGCCAAGGCCUUUACGAUGGAAAUGACACUUUGAAACGACCAAUAAUAUGCUCAAUUUGGUCCCUAGGGUGAAACGAUCCGCGGUAAGCAUGGUCAAUAUUGGCGUCUUAAUAUUAAAAUUGGUUGGUAGGGUUCGAUUAAAUAUUUUUGUUGGCUUACAUUGACAUAUUUUCUUAUAAGUAAAGGUUCAGGAAUUUAGUAAACACUCUUAGCAUUCGUUUGAGCUAUAAUAUACCCCAAUGGCAUGCCUGUGCGGUGCUGGGGGAGAUUUUUACUCUGAUGGGUAGUUGCCUUUAUGUUGCUUUUCUUGGCUUUUAUGAUGAUUUAUCGUGUUUUUCGCUUAAUGAAGCACCUAUUUAUGUUGGAAAACACAUCUUAAAGUUAGCCAAGAACUUUUUGAUGAAAAUGACACCUUGUAUAAACCAAUAAUAUGAUCAGUUUGGUCCCUAGGGUUAAAAGAUCCGGGUUAGUAUGGUCAAUAAUGGCGUCUGGCCUUCCAAAUAAGGGCAAGGGUCGAUUAAACAUUUUGUUGGCCUCCGUCCACAUAUUUUAGUGUAAAUAAAGAUUCUGGCAUGUAGAAGACUCCCUUAGCAUUAGUUUGAGCUAUAAUAUAUACCCAACAGCAUGCCUGGGCGGUGCUUGUGGAAGAUUUUCACUCUUAUGGGUAGUUGCCUUUAUGUUGGUUUUCUAAGCUUUUAUGAUGGUUUAUCGUGUUUUCCGCUUAAUGAAGCACCUACUUAUAUUGAAAAACACAUGUUAAAGUUAGCAAAGGCUUUUAAAAUGAAAAUGACACCUUGAAUAGAUCAAAAAUAUGCUCAGUUUGGUCCCUAGGGUGAAAAGAUCCCGGGUAAAUAUUGCCAAUAAUGGCGUCAGGCUGUCCAAAUUGGGGGUAAGGGUCGAUUAAACAUUUUGUUGGCCUCUGUCCACAUAUCUUAGUAUAAAUACAGAUUCUGGCAUGUAGUAGACACCCUAAGCAUUAGUUUGAGCUAGAAUAUACUCCAAUGGAAUGCCUGGGCGGUGCUGGGGGAAGAUUUUCACUCUUAUGGGUAGUUGCCUUUAUUUUGGUUUUCUAGGCUUUUAUGAUGCUUUAUCGUGAUUUCCGCUUAAUGAAGCACCGAUUUAUAUUGAAAAACACAUGUUAAGGUUAGCCAAGGCCUUUGCAAUGAAAACAACACCUUGUAUAGACCAAUAAUAUGCUCAGUUUGGUCCCUAGGGUGAAACGAUCCGCGGUAAGUAUGGUCAAUAUUGGCGUCUUAAUAUUAAAAUUGGUUGGUAGGGUUCGAUUAAAUAUUUUUGUUGGCUUACAUUGACAUACACUACAAACUGCUCAGAGUCUGAAUUGACCAGUUUUUGUGCUCGACCAGUAAAAUCGAGAACACAUUUUACUUGACUAGUCUCGACAUUGUCUCGACUGUACUUAACUGUACUUAAGUGUACUCGACUAGGUCUCGACUUUACUUAAUUAGUCUGAUUCAGUACUUGAUGAUCUUUGUGUAGUCUGAAAUGGUCUUGACCAAGGCUCGACCUGUCUCGACCUGUCUUGACUAG
rnacentral:lncRNA from 1 species